rnacentral:misc_RNA from 1 species
GAAAUGCGAUACGUAGUGUGAAUUGCAGAAUUCUGUGAAUCAUCGAAACCUUGAACGCAAAUUGCGCCCUUCGGAUCUCCGAAGGGCACGCCUGUUUGAGUGUUGGUUUCAUCAUCUCCCCUCCGAGCCUCGCUUGGAGGGGGACUUGGGCAGUCAGGGGGCGGAGACGCCCCCCGUCGCCUCAAACGCAUCGAAAGGUGGGACGCUCGCAGCGUGCAAACGGGCGAAGCAACGUGUCCACCGAGCAGCAGGCUGGUGACUUUGUUCUCCUUCGCUGACUCGGUGCCGCGUGCCCGUUCCGAGGCUCGUCCCUCCUUCCUAAGGGCGCCCUUCGAACAAGCAAACACGAACGAACCCUUCAACCUCAAAUCAGGCGAAGCUACCCGCUGAAUUUAA